rnacentral:rRNA from 1 species
GGUUAGCACGGGCAAGCGGCCGCGGUGAUAGGGAUGGUGAAAGCGGUAUCCGGGAGCACGGGGCGUAAAGCGGUCGGAGGGGGCGGGUUAAGGGAGAUGUUUAAUCGUGUGGCUCAACCAUAUCGAUGCGUCUCAGACGGGCGUGCUAGAGGAAGGCAGAGGCAAGUGGAAUUGGUAGUGUAGCAGGGAAAGGCGUAGAGAUUACCAGGAACACCAAUGGCGAAGGCAGCUUGCUGGGCCACUCCUGACACUGAGGUACGAAAGCGUGGGGAGCGAACAGGAUUAGAUACCCGAGUAGUC